CACGCGUGGCCAUACCGGGCUUGUCAAAAUCUGAUCUUGUCUGAUCUCAGAAGCUAAGCAAGGCCAGGCCUGGUUAGCACUUGCAUGGGAGACCACUGGGAAUAUAUAGGUGCCGGUGGGG
rnacentral:rRNA from 1 species